rnacentral:lncRNA from 1 species
AAAAACAGUGAAGCAAAUGAGAGAGAAACAACUGACACACCACACACACACACACUCCACUAGUCACUGCCUCACACCUAACAAUCGCCGAUAAUUACAGCCAUCACCAAUUCAUCGUCCGGUCAUCCACCCAAUAAUUGCAUGCAGCACACGCAGCCACGCGAAUUUUGUUCUCGAUCCAGCACGCAAUCACCGAUUCGGCUCCAUUCUAAGGUUGUCGUCCAGCUAGUCACAGCUCGUCGUCUCAACCGUUGCUGUCGUCUUAGCUCAUCACCAGCCGUUGCUGACUUGUUGUUGCACCGGUGAGUUACGUUCAUUGAUGACUUUUUUUAUUGUUCUUUAUUUUUUUUCCUUAAUCCUUAUUUUUUCCUUAAUUUUUUUUUUUUGUGAGUUGGGAUUACUAGAUUAGGAUUUAAUACUUUAAUUUUUGCAGCAACUUUUUAAUUUUUUUGUGAGAUGCUAGCUGUUAAUUUUCGCCUCAUCUGUUGCCUGUUGACUGUUAAUUUUUAUUGUUAGUGUAUUUGGGGAAAAUUCCAAUGACGAUUGCUUAAUUUUGUAUGGAUUUAUUUACAAAUAAAUUAAGUUUAUGUUUAUGUUUUCAUUUUUGGCCAACCUCGAACUUUUUAUUGAACAAUUCAUGUCAUUGUUAUAUUGUUAUUAGCUUAGGGAAUGGGAAUAUGGGAUUGAUUUACUUUUUAUUUAAUUUUUUUGGUGUUCUAAUGAAUGAAAAUUACUAUUUAUGUUAACAUUUUUUUUGCUACAGGUUCAGUUCCUAAAGAUGACGAGGAUUUGAAGGAUGAGGAAAAAGAUGCCCUCAAAUAUUAGAUUAGUAUGUUUUCGAUAUUAGUAUUUAUUAUUUAUUAUGUUAUCUUGCUAUUAUUUUGUGUGGGAAAUUAUUAUUCUAUAAUGUAAAAGGUUAUUAUUAUGUUAUGUAUUGGAU